rnacentral:lncRNA from 1 species
ACAGUGACCGCCACCGUUGCCAAGGGAUGGGUCCCUGAGACUUGGCGAAGUGGGAGCCCUGUGUGAUCGUGCGUCAGAGUCGGGGCUGAGACCAGCCCCGGCCAGGGUAGUUACCGGGACGGUCUCCGGAGGCCGGGAUUCGCGGAGGGUCCACCAGCAGGAAGAAACCCCAGGAGGAAGAAACCUCAGACAGAUCGCCGGGGAGGCAGCGCGGGAUCCCAGCCUCAGGCGUGCGCGGACGGUGUGCGGAGAGGUAGAAGCAAGAGAAGCAUAAACAUAUAAUUUCAAUGCAAUAUGGGAAUUUUGUACAGAGUUCCUAAAAAAAGGGAUCAUGAUGCCAGUGUAUUGCCUCACUGAUUGCUAAAUGAAGAGGACUAUAAUGAAGCAUUCAAAGAACGUGAUGUGCCUCUGGGGCAACUGAAGGAUUGCUAUCUGACUUAUGCAUUUAAAACCUUCGAAGUGGAAGUUUGUCUGGAAUGGUUUAGGCAAACAGACUAGGUUGGAUUGAGAAUUGAAUGUAUACAUAAAAUUUGGUUUGGUCAGAUGAGAACAUCAAAUGUGGUAGCUAGAUCACCGUUAUUUAUGAGCUUUUUAUUGGGUUGAUUUGUCUUGAAAGAAUCAAAUCUAAGAGAAAUGUUUGGAAUGGCUAGAUGAUCCUAACAGAAGAAAUCUUACUGGUCUUUACUGCUAAACCUAAGGAGAUGAGAGUAAACAUUAAGUGGCCAACUCAAAGAAGCAUG